ACUAAAAGUCGUAACAAGGUUUCCGUAGGUGAACCUGCGGAAGGAUCAUUAAAGAAAUUUAAUAAUUUUGAAAAUGGAUUUUUUUUUUUUGUUUUGGCAAGAGCAUGAGAGCUUUUACUGGGCAAGAAGACAAGAGAUGGAGAGUCCAGCCGGGCCUGCGCUUAAGUGCGCGGUCUUGCUAGGCUUGUAAGUUUCUUUCUUGCUAUUCCAAACGGUGAGAGAUUUCUGUGCUUUUGUUAUAGGACAAUUAAAACCGUUUCAAUACAACACACUGUGGAGUUUUCAUAUCUUUGCAACUUUUUCUUUGGGCAUUCGAGCAAUCGGGGCCCAGAGGUUAACAAACACAAACAAUUUUAUCUAUUCAUUAAAUUUUUGUCAAAAACAAGAAUUUUCGUAACUGGAAAUUUUAAAAUAUUAAA
rnacentral:misc_RNA from 1 species